AAAACAUAUUUGUUCAACCAUAUGCAUGUGGUUGUGAGUAAUAUUGUAGUCUGAAGAUGUUUCGCGUUUUUGUCCAAACCGUUCUCUGUAUUAAGUAUUUGUCCAGACAUUUAAAUGCAUGGAAACCUGGUUCGAUCCCGUUUUAAAAUUAUUUAUGUCUUGCCGAGUGUCUGUUUAAUGCAUGUGUGUGUGCUUGUGUGUGUGCUUGUGUGUGUGCAAGCGCAGGAAAAAUAAUCGAUACCCUCUAUAAUAGCAGGGGUGGCCAAACAGUCGAUCGCGAUCGACUGGUCGAUCUUGGACGAUUUCUAAGUCGAUCCCCUUGUUAGAAUUUAUUAAUUAUUCUUAUGCAUUUGUCAUUUAGUAGAUUCAGUUAUUAAAUACAUAUUAUAUUUCAGAUUAACCUGUUAGUGUGAAAUGGCAUUUUCUCAAAUGAAAUUUAUAAAAGCUGAGUAGGUUAGGUUUAGACUUAAGCACGGAGUCUUCAUUUGGCCAUGAUAUAUGCAACGACACGCUUCUACAUCAACAUUAAAAUGUUAAUACAUUUUAAAAUUAUUUAGAAAUUUAAUGUGAAACACUCAUUUCAGAUAACUUAACACUUUAAUUUUAUUAUUUAUAUAAGUAUGUUUAUUAAUAAUAUUAAAUAAUUUUUUUACAUUAGUCGAUUCUAAAAGACAAAAUAUAUCCUCAGUAGAUCUUAAUCAAAACAAGUUUGGCCACCCCUGCUCUAUAGCGUCGGCCAUGUUUGUAUUGUUGCGUCCUGCGCCUGACUAACCUUUAAUGACCAACGGCUGGGUUCUCGUUUCUUAUACUUUGUUUGUCAUUUCGCCGCUGCGGUAACAGCCGAACGCUAGCUGUAACUUUUAUUUCACCCGAAUCCUGUCGUAAAACAUAUUUUGUUAAACUGUAUAAGAAUAAAUGGCAGAUAUACCCAUUUGGUGUGUUAUUGAGUAUGAUGAUGUUGGUGUAUAAAUUUGACCAAAAAGUUGGACAGAGACUGGAUCACCAGGAACCAGCUAUUGGCCCCACCGAGGAGUUUUUAAUUCAGACCUACAAUACCUUAAUGCAGUAAAACAUAAUACAAGUUCUGGAAUAACUUGGCCAGUCUAUAAGGACGGGAUUCUAUGAUGACUUUGAAAAAGCAUGGAGACCAUCAGAUUUCAGAAAAAGAAAAAAAAAAAACCGAAAAAAGCGGAAGAAAAAAAA